rnacentral:rRNA from 1 species
UACGGGGGGGGCAAGCGUUGUUCGGAAUUACUGGGCGUAAAGGGCGCGUAGGCGGUUGGAUAAGUCAGCUGUGAAAACCACGGGCUUAACUCGUGGCCUGCAGUUGAGACUGUCUGGCUUGAGUGUGGGAGAGGAGAGUGGAAUUCCUGGUGUAGCGGUGAAAUGCGCAGAUAUCAGGGGGAACACCGGUGGCGAAGGCGGGUCUCUGGGCCGAUACUGACGCUGAGGAGCGAAAGCGUGGGGAGCGAACAGG